rnacentral:lncRNA from 1 species
AUAUAAUAAGUAAGUUAGAGAUUAGUAAUUGAAUAUAUAUAAAUCGUAAAGAGAGUAAGUGGGAAAUGAAUUGAUAAGAAUAUGGAAGUAUUGUUGAAUUGAUAUUUGUAGAAUGGAUUAUAUGUUGAAUUAAGACGGAAGUAGUAAGCCUUGGUAUUUUGUAAUUUCAUAAUAUAUUUCAGAUAUCUAGAGUAUAGUCAAUUGUGACACUAAUAGACCUAAUUCAUAAAACUAGUCUUUUUUCGUAUUCAAAUCCAC